rnacentral:rRNA from 1 species
GAUGAACGCUGGCGGCGUGCCUAAUACAUGCAAGUCGAGCGAACAGACGAGGAGCUUGCUCCUCUGACGUUAGCGGCGGACGGGUGAGUAACACGUGGAUAACCUACCUAUAAGACUGGGAUAACUUCGGGAAACCGGAGCUAAUACCGGAUAAUAUAUUGAACCGCAUGGUUCAAUAGUGAAAGACGGUUUUGCUGUCACUUAUAGAUGGAUCCGCGCCGCAUUAGCUAGUUGGUAAGGUAACGGCUUACCAAGGCAACGAUGCGUAGCCGACCUGAGAGGGUGAUCGGCCACACUGAAACUGAGACACGGUCCAGACUCCUACGGGAGGCAGCAGUAGGGAAUCUUCCGCAAUGGGCGAAAGCUUGACGGAGCAACGCCGCGUGAGUGAUGAAGGUCUUCGGAUCGUAAAACUCUGUUAUUAGGGAAGAACAAAUGUGUAAGUAACGAUGCACGUCUUGACGGUACCUAAUCAGAAAGCCACGGCUAACUACGU